UUUUUACACUUUCGUGGGUUGUAGAUUUGACUUAGAGCAAAAUUGUUGCAUUUCUUAAAACAAAAAUGCGUAAUAUGGACCGACGAACUUUCAACUGACACAUCAAGUCAACCGAGCUGUCACACAUUGUGUUAUUGUGAUUUGUGAAUUGUUCUCGUGGUAUUUUUAUUGAUUAAUAAUUAUUUUAGUUGAGUCAUAAUUACCAUGGCAAAAAAAUGUUUCUUCUAGGGUCCGGGGGCCUAAUUUUACAAAAGAAGAACAGAUUUCACUGAUUGCAGCGAUGGAACCAUACACCCAUAUUAUUGAGUGCAAAAAGACUGACCAAAUAAAACAGAGUGAAAAGCAAAAUGACUAGGUCAAAAUAGCUAAUAUUGAUUGAAUAUCCAUUAAUAAAAGUACAUUUCCUUA